CUUGACCUCAGUGUCUUCCAAGGCAGCAUCUCUAAAGCUAUCACCAGAUACAGCUUCUUGGAUUUUCUAGCAAGCUCUGGCAUUGCCAUUUUGCUUAUGUUGCAGUCUUUCUUACACAGUCCAAUCGCAUCAUGUCAUGCUAUUCAUGGGGAAAAAUACGUUCGCAAGUCUCAAAAGCAAGAGCUGUGGAGAGUGAGGGAAGUUACCCUUGGUAAUUGAGGUAAGCAUCCACAGGGUAUCAUCCUGUUUUAAUGGAGGAAGAUUUAUACUUGACACCUUUAAACAGGAAAGAUUUUACUGCUUUUUUUUUUUUUUUAAAUGUAAGAAGAUGAAUUGCUUCAGGUACCUUUAGCUACAGUAUUAUAUUUUCCCUUUAAAAGUAUAAUCUACUACUGUGAUAUUUCCCUCCUAUUAUAUUUUCUCUUUAAAAGUAUAACUCUACUAUUUCCCCAUAAUCACUUUUUAUUUUAUUAUACAUAUACUAACAUGCAUGAAGUGUGCUAAUCUUCAAUGUACAGCUUAAUGACAUUUCAUGUAUGUACAUGUCCUGGUAAACAGAACAUUUCCAAGACUUUAGGAAGUUCCUUCAUCCUCUUUCUCAGUGAUAAUUACUCCACAGGGCAACCACAAUUUUGACUCUUACUAUAAUUGACUUGGUGUGCUUGUUCUUGAUUUUCAUCCAAAUGUUAAAAUACAAUAUAUACAGUUAUGUGUUUUGACUUCUUUUGCUCAACAUAAUGUGUGGUUUGACUUUUAAUUGUUCUUUUGAUAGAUGUAUGGGCUUAUUUAUCUUGGUAUGUGCUAUAUGCUCAGGAAUGAAUUUACUGAAUCAUAGGGUAGACUUUAAAUUUAGUUUUGGUAGGUAUUGCAGUUUUCAAAAAAUAUCGAUUCCACGAAUAAUCCCCAAAACAAUGCAUGAAAGUUCCAGUUGUUUCACACACCUGUCCAGCUCUUUCUGAUUAUAGUCAUCCAGCAGACAGUGUGCAUUUACCUGAUGUGUAAUGAUUUCGAGUACUUUUCGAUGUGCUUAUUGGCUAUUUGGAUUUUUUUUUUUUUUGAGGGCACCUGUUGAAACAUUUCAUCCAUUUAUGAUUUCUUUUCUUUUUUUUUUUUUUUGAGACGGACUCUUGUGCCCAGGUUGGAGUGCAGUGGCGUGAUCUUGCUCACUGCAAUCUCCGCUUCCUGGGUUCAAGUGAUUCUCCUGUCUCAGCCUCCUGAGUAGCUGGGAUUACAGGCGUGUGCCACCACACCUGGCUAAUUUUUGUAUUUUUUAGUAG
rnacentral:lncRNA from 10 species